rnacentral:rRNA from 1 species
CCUACGGGAGUCAGCAGUGAGGAAUAUUGGUCAAUGGACGAGAGUCUGAACCAGCCAAGUAGCGUGAAGGAUGACUGCCCUAUGGGUUGUAAACUUCUUUUAUAUGGGAAUAAAAUGUUCCACGUGUGGGAUUUUGUAUGUACCAUAUGAAUAAGGAUCGGCUAACUCCGUGCCAGCAGCCGCGGUAAUACGAAGGAUCCGAGCGUUAUCCGGAUUUAUUGGGUUUAAAGGGAGCGUAGGUGGAUUGUUAAGUCAGUUGUGAAAGUUUGCGGCUCAACCGUAAAAUUGCAGUUGAAACUGGCAGUCUUGAGUACAGUAGAGGUGGGCGGAAUUCGUGGUGUAGCGGUGAAAUGCUUAGAUAUCACGAAGAACUCCGAUUGCGAAGGCAGUUCACUGGACUGCAACUGACACUGAGGCUCGAAAGUGUGGGUAUCAAACAGGAUUAGAUACCCUAGUAGUC